AUUGAACGCUGGCGGCAGGCUUAACACAUGCAAGUCGAACGAGCGGCGGACGGGUGAGUAAUGUCUGGGAAUCUGCCUGAUGGAGGGGGAUAACUACUGGAAACGGUAGCUAAUACCGCGUACCAUAGGAUGAGCCCAGAUGGGAUUAGGUAGUUGGUGGGGUAAAGGCUCACCUAGGCGACGAUCCCUAGCUGGUCUGAGAGGAUGACCAGCCACACUGGAACUGAGACACGGCCCAGACUCCUACGGGAGGCAGCAGUGGGGAAUAUUGCACAAUGGGCGCAAGCCUGAUGCAGCCAUGCCGCGGGUAUGAAGAAGGCCUUCGGGUUGUAAAGUACUUUCAGCGAGGAGGCGUUACCCGCAGAAGAAGCACCGGCUAACUCCGUGCCAGCAGCCGCGGUAAUUC
rnacentral:rRNA from 1 species